rnacentral:rRNA from 1 species
GAUGAACGCUGGCGGCGUGCCUAAUACAUGCAAGUCGAGCGAACAGACGAGGAGCUUGCUCCUCUGACGUUAGCGGCGGACGGGUGAGUAACACGUGGAUAACCUACCUAUAAGACUGGGAUAACUUCGGGAAACCGGAGCUAAUACCGGAUAACAUGUUGAACCGCAUGGUUCAACAGUGAAAGACGGUCUUGCUGUCACUUAUAGAUGGAUCCGCGCCGCAUUAGCUAGUUGGUAAGGUAACGGCUUACCAAGGCAACGAUGCGUAGCCGACCUGAGAGAGUGAUCGGCCACACUGGAACUGAGACACGGACCAGACUCCUACGGGAGGCAGCAGUAGGGAAUCUUCCGCAAUGGGCGAAAGCCUGACGGAGCAACGCCGCGUGAGUGAUGAAGGUCUUCGGAUCGUAAAACUCUGUUAUUAGGGAAGAACAAAUGUGUAAGUAACUAUGCACGUCUUGACGGUACCUAAUCAGAAAGCCACGGCUAACUACGUG